AUCUCUUUGGAGACAUAUGAUAAAAUUGGAACGAUAUAGAGUAGAUUAUCAUGGUCCCUACGUAAGGAUGACAUGCAUAAAUCAAGAAAUGGUCAAAUUUUUU